CCUACGGGGGGCAGCAGUGAGGAAUAUUGGUCAAUGGACGAGAGUCUGAACCAGCCAAGUAGCGUGAAGGAUGACUGCCCUAUGGGUUGUAAACUUCUUUUAUAUGGGAAUAAAAUGUUCCACGUGUGGGAUUUUGUAUGUACCAUAUGAAUAAGGAUCGGCUAACUCCGUGCCAGCAGCCGCGGUAAUACGGAGGAUCCGAGCGUUAUCCGGAUUUAUUGGGUUUAAAGGGAGCGUAGGUGGAUUGUUAAGUCAGUUGUGAAAGUUUGCGGCUCAACCGUAAAAUUGCAGUUGAAACUGGCAGUCUUGAGUACAGUAGAGGUGGGCGGAAUUCGUGGUGUAGCGGUGAAAUGCUUAGAUAUCACGAAGAACUCCGAUUGCGAAGGCAGUUCACUGGACCGCAACUGACACUGAGGCUCGAAAGUGUGGGUAUCAAACAGGAUUAGAUACCCGUGUAGUC
rnacentral:rRNA from 1 species